rnacentral:tRNA from 1 species
GCUAAGUUGGUAAAAGCACAAGGCUCUUAACCUUGUGGACGUGGAUUCAAGUCCCAU